rnacentral:rRNA from 1 species
GACGAACGCUGGCGGCGUGCUUAACACAUGCAAGUCGAACGAUGAAGCUAGAGCUUGCUCUGGUGGAAUAGUGGCGAACGGGUGAGUAACCCGUGAGUAACCUGCCCUUGACUCUGGGAUAACUGCGGGAAACUGUAGCUAAUACCGGAUACGACCCUCGGAGGCAUCUCCUGGGGGUGGAAAGAAUUUCGGUCAAGGAUGGACCCGCGGCCUAUCGGCUAGUUGGUGAGGUAAAGGGUGACCAAGGCGACGACGGGUAGCCGGCCCGAGAGGUUGACCGGCCACACUGAGACUGAGACACGGCCCAGACUCCUACGGGAGGCAGCAGUGGGGAAUAUUGCACAAUGGGCGCAAGCCUGAUGCAGCAACGCCGCGUGAGGGAUGACGGCCUUCGGGUUGUAAACCUCUUUUAGCAGGGACGAAGCGAAAGUGACGGUACCUGCAGAAAAAGCACCGGCUAAAUACGUGCCAGCAGCCGCCGUAA